UCCCUGGAGGACUAGUGGUUAGGCCCUAGUGUGCUCACUGCUGCGGCCCAGGUUUGAUUCCCGGCCAGGGAA